UAUAUAUGCGCAUUCCACUAG
rnacentral:piRNA from 1 species